AGCUAAUACUUGCUUUAGCACUCUUGAUUUAUUUCUUGAGUGUGUACUUGUUAAGCCUUAUAAGAAAAGAGUUAUUAACUUAAGGAAUUAUAACAAAGAAGUAACACGUAAUGGAUCAUUCCAUUUUUAGCGUGUAUCAAUCGAGUUUCUGACCUAUCAGCUUUUGACGUUAGGGUAUUGGCCUAACAUGGCUAUGACGGGUAACGGGGAAUUAGAGUUCGAUUCCGGAGAGGGAGCCUGAGAAAUAGCUACCACAUCUAAGGAAGGCAGCAGGCGCGUAAAUUACCCAAUUCUAAAGAAGAGAGGUAGUGACAAGAAAUAACAAUACAAGGCCAAUCUGGCUUUGUAAUUGGAAUGAUGGGAAUUUAAAACCUUCCCAAAAUUCAAUUGGAGGGCAAGUCUGGUGCCAGCAGCCGCGGUAAUUCCAGCUCCAAUAGCGUAUAUUAAAAUUGUUGCAGUUAAAACGCUCGUAGUUGAAUUUCAAAGAAUCGAUAUUUUAAGUAACGCUUCUAGCUACAAAUCCACAUAACUGAUGCCUCCGCGUAUCGACUUUGUGCGCAUUUUAGCUAUUAUGUGUUCUUUUAAUUAAAAUGAUUCUUUUUAAGAUUCAUCUAUUAAAAAUUUGCUUCGGCAUAAUUUUUUUUGAUGAUCUUGUUACUUUGAGUAAAUUAGAGUGUUCAAAGCAAACAGAUAUAGCAUUUGUGCGUUUGAAUACUGCAGCAUGGAAUAACAAAAUUGAACAAGUCAGAAUUUUUUUGUUCUUUUUUCUUAUUUUGGCUUAGUUACGAUUAAUAGGAGUAGCUUGGGGGCAUUUGUAUUCAGAUGUCAGAGGUGGAAUUCUUGGAUUUUCUGGAGACAAACAACUGCGAAAGCAUUUGCCUAAAAUACUUCCAUUAAUCAAGAACGAAAGUUAAGGGAGUGAAGACGAUCAGAUACCGUCGUAAUCUUAACCAUAAACUAUGCCGACUAGGCUUUGGAUGAAAGAUUUUAAAAUAAGAGUUUU
rnacentral:rRNA from 1 species